CUAUGCUCGCAUCUCUGGCAGCCUGGAUUGGGGUCCUGCUGGAGUGAAGGGUUUCCUGAGGCAGGGAGUACUCAUAGCCGUCUGUGCCUCCUGCUCUGCUGGACUCUGAUAGAGGCAGUGGGCAGCAGGGCAAAGAAGGAAGCAGCCGCCGAGGAAGCGAGGGUGGGGUGGGGGUGCCCAGCCCUGCGGCCGGAGGUGCCACUGACCCUGAGAGCAAGAGCCAUCAGUCUGAUGGCUUCCUCUGGCCGGAAGCUGUGGCUGAGAUAUCCUUCCUUCCUCCCAGCAGCCUGGAUUUGCCUCCUCCCAGGCUGGGAAAGGCUAGGGAGGCCCAGGUGGGGCUGUCAGGGCCAAAGGCUGUUUCAAAAGUGUCCUUUAUUGCCAAUCAGGGGGUUUGGCUGGCAUCUGCUUGUGGCAUGGGGUGCUGGCUCUCGUGGAGCAAGACUGAGGGCUGUCGAGCCCCGGGGGUCCUGCCCAUCAGCAGCCAUGCUUACCCCUGCAGAGCUGGCCACGGUAGUACGGCGGUUCUCCCAGACUGGCAUCCAGGACUUCCUGACACUGACGCUGACAGAGCCGACUGGGCUUCUGUACGUGGGCGCCCGAGAGGCCCUGUUUGCCUUCAGCAUGGAGGCCCUGGAGCUGCAAGGAGCGAUCUCCUGGGAGGCCCCCGUGGAGAAGAAGACUGAGUGUAUCCAGAAAGGGAAGAACAACCAGACCGAGUGCUUCAACUUCAUCCGCUUCCUGCAGCCCUACAAUGCCUCCCACCUGUACGUCUGUGGCACCUACGCCUUCCAGCCCAAGUGCACCUACAUCAACAUGCUCACCUUCACUUUGGAGCAUGGAGAGUUUGAAGAUGGGAAGGGCAAGUGUCCCUAUGACCCAGCUAAGGGCCAUGCUGGCCUUCUUGUGGAUGGUGAGCUGUACUCGGCCACACUCAACAACUUCCUGGGCACGGAACCCAUUAUCCUGCGUAACAUGGGGCCCCACCACUCCAUGAAGACAGAGUACCUGGCCUUUUGGCUCAACGAACCUCACUUUGUAGGCUCUGCCUAUGUACCUGAGAGUGUGGGCAGCUUCACGGGGGACGACGACAAGGUCUACUUCUUCUUCAGGGAGCGGGCAGUGGAGUCCGACUGCUAUGCCGAGCAGGUGGUGGCUCGUGUGGCCCGCGUCUGCAAGGGCGAUAUGGGGGGCGCACGGACCCUGCAGAAGAAGUGGACCACGUUCCUGAAGGCGCGGCUGGCAUGCUCUGCCCCGAACUGGCAGCUCUACUUCAACCAGCUGCAGGCGAUGCACACCCUGCAGGACACCUCCUGGCACAACACCACCUUCUUUGGGGUUUUUCAAGCACAGUGGGGUGACAUGUACCUGUCGGCCAUCUGUGAGUACCAGUUGGAAGAGAUCCAGCGGGUGUUUGAGGGCCCCUAUAAGGAGUACCAUGAGGAAGCCCAGAAGUGGGACCGCUACACUGACCCUGUACCCAGCCCUCGGCCUGGCUCGUGCAUUAACAACUGGCAUCGGCGCCACGGCUACACCAGCUCCCUGGAGCUACCCGACAACAUCCUCAACUUCGUCAAGAAGCACCCGCUGAUGGAGGAGCAGGUGGGGCCUCGGUGGAGCCGCCCCCUGCUCGUGAAGAAGGGCACCAACUUCACCCACCUGGUGGCCGACCGGGUUACAGGACUUGAUGGAGCCACCUAUACAGUGCUGUUCAUUGGCACAGGAGACGGCUGGCUGCUCAAGGCCGUGAGCCUGGGGCCCUGGGUUCACCUGAUUGAGGAGCUGCAGCUGUUUGACCAGGAGCCCAUGAGAAGCCUGGUGCUAUCUCAGAGCAAGAAGCUGCUCUUUGCCGGCUCCCGCUCUCAGCUGGUGCAGCUGCCCGUGGCCGACUGCAUGAAGUAUCGCUCCUGUGCAGACUGUGUCCUCGCCCGGGACCCCUAUUGCGCCUGGAGCGUCAACACCAGCCGCUGUGUGGCCGUGGGUGGCCACUCUGGAUCUCUACUGAUCCAGCAUGUGAUGACCUCGGACACUUCAGGCAUCUGCAACCUCCGUGGCAGUAAGAAAGUCAGGCCCACUCCCAAAAACAUCACGGUGGUGGCGGGCACAGACCUGGUGCUGCCCUGCCACCUCUCCUCCAACUUGGCCCAUGCCCGCUGGACCUUUGGGGGCCGGGACCUGCCUGCGGAACAGCCCGGGUCCUUCCUCUACGAUGCCCGGCUCCAGGCCCUGGUUGUGAUGGCUGCCCAGCCCCGCCAUGCCGGGGCCUACCACUGCUUUUCAGAGGAGCAGGGGGCGCGGCUGGCUGCUGAAGGCUACCUUGUGGCUGUCGUGGCAGGCCCGUCGGUGACCUUGGAGGCCCGGGCCCCCCUGGAAAACCUGGGGCUGGUGUGGCUGGCGGUGGUGGCCCUGGGGGCUGUGUGCCUGGUGCUGCUGCUGCUGGUGCUGUCAUUGCGCCGGCGGCUGCGGGAAGAGCUGGAGAAAGGGGCCAAGGCUACUGAGAGGACCUUGGUGUACCCCCUGGAGCUGCCCAAGGAGCCUACCAGUCCCCCCUUCCGGCCCUGUCCUGAACCAGAUGAGAAACUUUGGGAUCCUGUCGGUUACUACUAUUCAGAUGGCUCCCUUAAGAUAGUACCUGGGCAUGCCCGGUGCCAGCCCGGCGGGGGGCCCCCUUCGCCACCUCCAGGCAUCCCAGGCCAGCCUCUGCCUUCUCCAACUCGGCUUCACCUGGGGGGUGGGCGGAACUCAAAUGCCAAUGGUUACGUGCGCUUACAACUAGGAGGGGAGGACCGGGGAGGGCUCGGGCACCCCCUGCCUGAGCUCGCGGAUGAACUGAGACGCAAACUGCAGCAACGCCAGCCACUGCCCGACUCCAACCCCGAGGAGUCAUCAGUAUGAGGGGCACCCCCACCGCGUUGGCGGGAAGCGUGGGAGGUGUAGCUCCUACUUUUGCACAGGCACCAGCUACCUCAGGGACAUGGCACGGGCACCUGCUCUGUCUGGGACAGAUACUGCCCAGCACCCACCCGGCCAUGAGGACCUGCUCUGCUCAGCACGGGCACUGCCACUUGGUGUGGCUCACCAGGGCACCAGCCUCGCAGAAGGCAUCUUCCUCCUCUCUGUGAAUCACAGACACGCGGGACCCCAGCCGCCAAAACUUUUCAAGGCAGAAGUUUCAAGAUGUGUGUUUGUCUGUAUUUGCACAUGUGUUUGUGUGUGUGUAUGUGUGUGUGCACGCGCGUGCGUGCUUGUGGCAUAGCCUUCCUGUUUCUGUCAAGUCUUCCCUUGGCCUGGGUCCUCCUGGUGAGUCAUUGGAGCUAUGAAGGGGAAGGGGUCGUAUCACUUUGUCUCUCCUACCCCCACUGCCCCGAGUGUCGGGCAGCGAUGUACAUAUGGAGGUGGGGUGGACAGGGUGCUGUGCCCCUUCAGGGGGAGUGCAGGGCUUGGGGUGGGCCUAGUCCUGCUCCUAGGGCUGUGAAUGUUUUCAGGGUGGGGGGAGGGAGAUGGAGCCUCCUGUGUGUUUGGGGGGAAGGGUGGGUGGGGCCUCCCACUUGGCCCCGGGGUUCAGUGGUAUUUUAUACUUGCCUUCUUCCUGUACAGGGCUGGGAAAGGCUGUGUGAGGGGAGAGAAGGGAGAGGGUGGGCCUGCUGUGGACAAUGGCAUACUCUCUUCCAGCCCUAGGAGGAGGGCUCCUAACGGUGUAACUUAUUGUGUCCCCGCGUAUUUAUUUGUUGUAAAUAUUUGAGUAUUUUUAUAUUGACAAAUAAAAUGGAGAAAAUG
rnacentral:sRNA from 1 species